rnacentral:lncRNA from 1 species
UAAAUUUGUUCAUUAUCAGGAACACCAAAAUAUUCGUCGAACCUUUGCUGGAAACUCAUCAUCAUUAACAGGUUCUUUUAGCAAAGUGAUUUCAUCCUUGGAAUUACCACAAAACUAUUGCACGAUGAGCUUUUGAUCAUCAGGAAUUUCAAUUUGGGACUUGAGAGGUUCACCAAAUUCGGCAGAGCUAGAAUUUUCAACACCAAACUUGAUAAAGACACCGGGCCAUGUAGAUUCUUCGUCAUUAUCAUCUGGUUGACUAGAUGAUAUGAUUUUAAUACGUUUACGAAGUGGAACCUUUUCCCAUGAUAAGAAACAAUGUGCACCUGCUGGCACUUUAAUGGGUUCAAACUCCUUCAAUGGAAGACUAACAUUUUCUUCAAGAAUCCGUAAUUCAAUUCCUUCAGGAACAUUUGCUGGCAAAAUGAGGACAUUCUUCUUAAAGGUAAAUAUCUGAGAUGUGCCUUCUUCGGUAAAAAGGUCUGUUUCAACUAAAUCACAUACGAGUGUGUUUGAAUCAAACUCAGCAGAUAUGCUAGAGGUAAAUGUGGUGCAUAUACUCUUUAAUUCAGGAUCUUCUACGGUCCUAAAGACUACGGACAUGCUUAAAAUGUUAGUAAGGAAGAAAUUGGUAGUUGUUGGAAAAUCAUCGACUUGGGUACGUGUAAUGUGCGAAUGCCACACCAUAGACGUCAACUAUAAGUCAACGGGAAUUUUAAUAGAUCAGUUCAUUAAAAAAUCCUUCUUAAAAAUUCAUAAAUGAUAAAAGGAGAAACGAGGUCGUAAGACCAAAAGCAUAUUCAUUAAACUGACACGAACAUAUACUGUGUAAACAUAAGUAGACUAUUAAUUCUAUGAAUCGGAACAAUUAUUUUUUUGUUCCAUUUUUAAGGUUAUCUCUCUCCAGAAGCACUGGUUUUAUGACCUCUUCAUCAAAGCGCGUUAACCAUUGAGCUUGAUCAUCUCGUGAAGAAUGGAAAAAUUGGUUGAAAGCACCAGCUGCUCGUUGGUAUUGCUCAAAUGUGCUUGAAACCUUCUUAGAAAGUGUAGGUGCAAUGUUGCCUUCAUCAAAAUGUUCCGUCGUAAAUUGUUGGUCGACAACAACUGGUUCAGCAGAAGCGUCUGAUAGCUCCAUUGCGCUAUUUUCCAAAUCAAACUCUGGUGACUGUUGCCAAGGUAGCAUGCCGAUUUCUGUGUCACUGUCAACAUCAGCCGCUACACCAGUUUCAAUAUGCAAAAUUUCGAGCAUUCUGGCAGUAGUACCGCCAAAUAUAAUUAGGGUCAAGACGACAACAACCAAUGUAGUCGCUCGCAGCGUUUGAGCAUUUUCUCCUUCAAAGCCUGCUGCCAACGCUACUCCAACUGCACCUCGUAGGCCCGCCCAAAAAAGCAUCAUUUGGUAACUGUAAGGUAUAUGAUCAAUGAGGUUACCAUUUCUCUGACGGUGGAAUUUGUUGAGCAAAUUGCUCAAUGGAAACACGUUCAUGUAUCUAGAUGCGGUAACGGCAACCUUAGGCAAGUUAGUAAAGAAAAUAAGUGUAAAUUGACUUACUGUGGUAAUCAGAAUAAAAAUUGGUUUGUAAACCAAGUCAACCUGGGUAAACAGAGACAUGCCAAGAUAAAUGAAGAUAAAGUUUUCCGAGAGUUGCGCAAGAACCCGAAAAACAUACUUCGUGCUAAGCUUUGCUUUAUAUGACAUGUUGAAAAAGGCAUAGUGCUUUAGCGUUAUUCCACAAAACAAUAAGGAAACUACGCCUGACAUGUGGCAGCCGUUUGAAAAAAAGUAGGAGGUGUAUGCCAUGAGGAGAAUAAUACAAGACUCUAUAGAAGGAUAACGGCGUAAAUAAGAAUACUUUAGCAAAAGCG